rnacentral:lncRNA from 1 species
GCGGUGGUUUUGACGGUCGUGAUUGUUGUUGGACUUGGAUGAUGGAAGUGAAGAAAGAGGAACCAUGAAGCAAUGAAGAGAGAUGUGAAGAGAGUGAAUUUUAUUGAUCUGUUAAUGUUGACGAUGUUGGCUUCUUUGGUUUUUGAGAGGCUUUGGGAUUUUGUUGUGUAUGGUAGAGAUUUUAGUGGUUGAGUUGGUGAUGAUUUUCUGAAAAACAUGUUGAAGAGAGAGAGAGAGAGAGAGAUGGAGGAGAUGAAUGGCUGUUAUUUGUUUGUACGACUGUGAAGAGCGUUGAAAAUGUCGGUUGUUUCUGUGUGCUGUUUGAGAUUCAAGAGAAUAAGGGAACUAAAGAAAUAGUUAACCAUCCUUUAAAAAAAAAAUUAUUUUAUGGAUGUGAAAAUGAUGAUUAAGAAACUCAAUACCGG